CUACGGGUCGCAGCAGUGGGGAAUAUUGCACAAUGGAGGAAACUCUGAUGCAGCAACGCCGCGUGGAGGAUGACACUUUUCGGAGCGUAAACUCCUUUUAUAUAGGAAGAAGAUGACGGUACUAUAUGAAUAAGCGCCGGCUAACUCCGUGCCAGCAGCCGCGGUAAUACGGAGGGCGCAAGCGUUACUCGGAAUCACUGGGCGUAAAGAGCGUGUAGGCGGAUUAAAAAGUCAGAAGUGAAAUCCUAUAGCUUAACUAUAGAACUGCUGCUGAAACUCUUAAUCUAGAAUAUGGGAGAGGUAGAUGGAAUUUCUGGUGUAGGGGUAAAAUCCAUAGAGAUCAGAAGGAAUACCGAUUGCGAAGGCGAUCUACUAGAACAUUAUUGACGCUGAGACGCGAAAGCGUGGGGAGCAAACAGGAUUAGAUACCCGGGUAGUC
rnacentral:rRNA from 1 species